CCUACGGGUGGCAGCAGUGAGGAAUAUUGGUCAAUGGGCGUAAGCCUGAACCAGCCAAGUCGCGUGAGGGAUGAAGGUUCUAUGGAUCGUAAACCUCUUUUUUAAGGGAAUAAAGUGCGGGACGUGUCCUGUUUUGUAUUUACCUUAUGAAUAAGGCUCGGCUAACUCCGUGCCAGCAGCCGCGGUAAUAAGGAGGAUCCGAUCUUUGUCCGGAAUUAUUGGGUUUAAAGGGUGAGUAGGUGGCCUGUUACGUCAGUGGUGAACGGCGGUGGCUCAACCAUAGAAUUGACGUUGAAACUGGGAGGCUUGAGUAUGUUAGAGGCAGGCGGAAUGCGUGGUGUAGCGGUGAAAUGCUUAGAUAUCAGGAAGAACCCCGAUGGCGAAGGCAGCUUGCUAAGCCAUGACUGACGCUGAUGCACGAAAGCGUGGGGAUCAAACAGGAUUAGAUACCCGAGUAGUC
rnacentral:rRNA from 1 species